GACCAACAUGUGCAUGUUUAGCAGGAAUCGGAGACCCAGAAAUAAACCUGUCUUGGACAAACAGUCUUCCAGUAGCAGAACCACGAUCUUUAGCAGUAAGAUAAUAAGUAGACGAGACAAAUUCAUAAGGCCACGCUGCCUCUUCAAGUAGCCUCUGCUUUUUAGCAUCCUUCCACAAAUUGUAUGCAUUUGAUACAUUUGUUGUUGAAUUGAGGUAGACAAAGAAGGGGCCAAAUGUCUUCCUCCAUUCUUCUCCCUCUUGAAAAUGAGCUAAU
rnacentral:misc_RNA from 1 species